CAAUAGCGUAUAUUAAAGUUGUUGCGGUUAAAAAGCUCGUAGUUGGAUUUCUGCUGAAGGCAGCCGGUCCAUGUUCGACAUGCGCAUCUGGAUUGACUUCGGCAUCCUCUCAGAUAACGAUUCUGUGCUUGAUUGCAUGGAGCGGAGUUUGAGACUUUUACUUUGAGGAAAAUAGAGUGUUCACGGCAGGCAAUCGCCCUGAAUAUAUUAGCAUGGAAUAAUAAAAUAGGAUCUUGGUUCUAUUUUGUUGGUUUCUAGAACGAAGAUAAUGAUUAAUAGGGACAAUUGGGGGCAUUCGUAUUAACGCGUCAGAGGUGGAAUUCUUGGAUUGCGUUACGACGAACUACUGCGAANGNAUUUGCNAAGGAUGUUUNCAUUG
rnacentral:rRNA from 1 species